GACGAACGCUGGCGGCGUGCUUAACACAUGCAAGUCGAACGGAAAGGCCCUGCUUUUGUGGGGUGCUCGAGUGGCGAACGGGUGAGUAACCCGUGAGUAACCUGCCCUUGACUUUGGGAUAACUUCAGGAAACUGGGGCUAAUACCGGAUAGGAGCUCCUGCUGCAUGGUGGGGGUUGGAAAGUUUCGGCGGUUGGGGCUGGACGCGCGGGUUAUCAGCUUGUUGGUGGGGUCGUGGCUUACCAAGGCUUUGAAGGGUAGCCGGCCUGAGAGGGUGACCGGCCACAUGGGGACUGAGAGACGGCCCAGACGCCUACGGGAGGCAGUAGUGGGGAAUAUUGCACAAUGGGCGGAAGCCUGAUGCAGCGAUGCCGCGUGCGGGAUGACGGCCUUCGGGUUGUAAACCGCUUUCGCCGGUGACGAAGCGUGAGUGACGGUAAUGGGUAAAGAAGCACCGGCUAACUACGUG
rnacentral:rRNA from 1 species